GUCAUCAGGUUGGAGCUCUCAUGAGUGGGAGCUCUCAUUAAUGGCUUUAUAAAAGAGAUCCUGAAGAGCUCCCUUGUGAGGACACAGCAAGAAGAGAACUACCAGGAAGUGGACUCACCAGACAUAGAAUCUGUCCACACCCUAACCUCAGACUUCCCAGCAUCCAGAACUAUGAGAAAUCAAGGCCAGAUGUUGAUUUAGAGCUGCCAGUUUGCAACUCCUUUCAGAAGACUGAUUACUAUAUAAUAAUGACCAUUUUGUCCCAUGUCUCUUAAGCUCAUCUUCCUUGCUGAAGUUGGCUCUGGACAUCCAUUUGCUGCUGACACUGAUGGGUUCAUUGGGCAUAAUCUAGGUCACAUAUUCCUGGAAAAUGAGCCUGAGUAUAUCUAACCCAAAGAUUUCAGGAAAAAUGUCAUGAGCCUUGAACUUGGUAAAUUCAGGGAAUUUGCCUCUUGUUUAAUAGACUCCAGAACAGUAAUAAUUUUCCGAAUGUUUGGUUUAGUAUUUUGAACCUUUCAAAAAUACCAACAAUAGCCAGUGUAUCAAGACGCUUUAUAGCUUUGCCAGAAUUCCCAUAUAUUUGGUAUUCCAGUGACCCAAGUGAAACUUUUCAGGAUAUUUCUACUUAUGCACAAAAGAACACAGCACAAGCAAAAUCAAAGCUGUCAAACUCAGUAAGUGGUUCUCCAGUAAGCACCAAUUGCCUUGGGAAUCAUCAAACUCUGCACUGACAUAGUGACCAUGAUGUGAUCUUCCACACAGUAGUUUGGGCAUACAACAAACACAGAAGUUCAAGGAAGGGUCACGCUUGGCUGUUUGGGGUUUCAGGAACAAUAGAAGAUUGUCAUUGGUGAUGUAGAGAGUAACACUCCAUGUCACCACACAGCUCAAAUUCGCUCUGCUCAAAUUCCUUCAGGAUGGACUCAAAUUUUCUUCUUUUUAUUGUUUUAUUUGGAGUGUGUGGGAAGCUACUACUUACUAAAAUCCAUGGUGUUGCUUUCUGAUGUUGCUGUUUAGCAGUGGUCCAGGAUAUACCAUAUUCAGAAGGUUUAGUCUUAAAGAAAUUGAGCGUGUAUAUAUAUGUCCUAGGCCUUCCAAUCAUGUCUCCCUGAGGUUGUCUAUUAUUCCCCAUAUGGCAUGGAUGCCACAAAUAACAUUGAUAUUCAUCUACUACAUCCAGAGCUGAAUAAAGCAAUAUUCCAGAAACAAACAAAGCUUCAAUGUAGUGUCCUCAGUAUGCAGUGGCUAGAACCUCAGAAACAAUGACUUAUAGGGUUGUUACUUUAGUGUCUAUCAUAAUAAAAUGAGGACUUGUAGUGAAUCUUCACAGUUAUAAUGCUAGCUUCUUCCUCUGUAAGGGAC